rnacentral:lncRNA from 13 species
AUGCAGCCCUCCACUCUACUCAGUCUACGCCAGCUCACUCCACUCCUCUGCACUCCAUUUCACUUAUUCUGUUCUACUCCAUUUCUGUCCCUCCCACUGCACUGCAUUCCAUUCCAUUCCAUUCCAUUCCAUUCCACACCACUCUACUUUAUUUUGUCUCAUUCUAUCCUAUCCUACCCUAUUCCACUCCACUCUAUUUCAUUUUGCUUAUCCUAUUCCAUUUCAUUCUGUAAAUGGUUUCAUUGUAUUUUAUUCCAUUCUACUCCAUUCCAUUCUAUUCCCCUUCCUUUCAUUAUACUUGACUCCUUCAUUUCAUUCCAUCGCAUUUUAUUCUUUCUAUUUUCUAACAUUCUUUUUCAUUUUACUCCACUCUGUUCCACGCCACUCCAUUCCAUUCUAUUCUGUUUUACUCCACUCCAUUCCACUUUUCCAGUUUAUUCUAUUUUAUUCCAUUUCAUUCUUUUCAAUUCCUUUCCACUGCAUUCUGCUACAUUCUAUGCCAUUCUGCUGUACUCCAUUCCACUCCACUCCACUGCAUUCUAUCUUAUUUUAUUAUGUUCAGUUAUAUUCUGUUUUAUACAACUCCAUUCCAUUUUAUUGCAAUUUAUUUGUCUAGUGCAUUUCAUUUCCACUUCACUCCAUUCCAUUGUUUCAGUGUGUUCAACUUUCUUCUGCUUUAUUUCACUCCAUUCCAUUCCAAUUUGUCCUAUUCCAUUCCAUUUCACUCCACUCCUCUUCUGUUCAACUCUAUUCUAUUACAGUUCCCUUCCCUUCCCCCUUCCCCCUUCCCCUUCCCCUUCCCAUCCCCAUCCUCAUUCCCCUUCUCCUUCCCCUUCACCUUCCCCUUUUCCUCCCCUCCCCUCCCCUUCCUUCUUUCAUCUUGCUGUUACCCAGGCUGGAAUUCAAUCACAGAUCUCAGCUCAUUGCAACCUCUGCCCCCCUGGUUCAAGUGAUUUUCUUGCCUCAGCUUCCCAAACAGCUGGGUUUACAGGCACAUGCCACCACACCUCAGUAAUUUUUGUAUUUUUUUUUUUUUUUUUUUUUUGA